CUGACGACUGGCGUGUGCAACAUCUCCGUCUUGGCAGCGUCUUCUACUUCAAGCAACGGGACCUCAGGUGUUAUAGGUAUAAGGUUGGGGUUUUCACGCUCACUGGCAACAUGUCUAUAGAUGACCCGAUAGACUGUGUCUUCGACGUCGUCCCUAGCCAAUUUGACGGUAUUGCUCAUCGAGGAGGCAACCACUUUGAAAUCUGUGUCACCAACCGAGCAGCUAUGAACCGAAUCUUCGAACAAGGCGGCAGUGUCGUCUCUGAAGAAACACUACCCAUCGCGACCCUUGGACCUAAGGUGGUCACCGUCGCUUGCAUCUGUUUCCUUGUAUUUAAUUCCAUCAGCGAGCGGCGGACGGGUUCCUUCGGCAGCCGGCACAUUACGGCAGUGGACUACCGCAGGGAACGGCGACGUACUUUCCCUUCUUGCCGGUCAUGCCGCCCAAGAAUUCCAGCUCCCUCUGCAAUGCCGUACACGUGCCUGCUGCACAGCACCUGCUACAGCAGAUGACGUCACUCUGUACGUUACUGUCUCCUACCAGCCUACCUUUCCAGCCACAGCGACCCCAGGUCAGAUGACUUCCUCGUCGACUUGGACGCUUGCUGAAUGGCCGGCAGAGUCACCGACGAGGAUGUCCGGUGACAUCUUGCACUUGCCAGACGUUUGAAAAUAUGGAAGGGAGUGUGGUGACGGCUUGGUGUUAUCGUUGAUAGCCCCCCCUUUGACGCCUCCCUAUUCUACUGCGAGGGAACCUGAAUCUUGUUCAGCCGUAGCACUACGACCGCGGAAAAGAAAUGCAUCUUGACGACUGUUGCUGGCAGCGGACAGAUUACGACGCAGUGGUCUUCUGCUGGGAACUGCGGUGUAUGCAACAACUACAUAAAUGACUAUGGGAUGAGGCCGUGUAUGUAAAUAAACAUGCUGCUGUUGGUUAA